rnacentral:misc_RNA from 1 species
AACUGAUACUACCUGCGGGAACCUGCGGAAGGAUCAUUACAUGGCGGAGGAGGUGGGCACCUAGUAAAAACAAAACCCUAGGUGUGUUGCCUACCACGCUUUCUACCCUUGUCUAUUUGCACCUUUUGUCGUUCCCUCGGUGGGUCUUGAACCUGCCGGCGGCAACUUUCAAAAACCUUUUGUAGUUAGUAUCUAAUUCUUCUGAUCAAAUAUUCAAUCGUUACAACUUUUAACAAUGGA